UCGGGAAUUUUGGGCAAUGGGCGAAAGCCUGACCCAGCAACGCCGCGUGAAGGAUGAGGUAUUUCGGUAUGUAAACUUCGAAAGAAUAGGAAGAAUAAAUGACGGUACUAUUUAUAAGGUCCGGCUAACUACGUGCCAGCAGCCGCGGUAAUACGUAGGGACCAAGCGUUGUUCGGAUUUACUGGGCGUAAAGGGCGCGUAGGCGGCAAUUCAAGUCAUCUGUGAAAUCUCCGGGCUUAACUCGGAACGGUCAGAUGAUACUGCUUUGCUAGAGUGCAGAAGGGGCAAUCGGAAUUCUUGGUGUAGCGGUGAAAUGCGUAGAUAUCAAGAGGAACACCUGAGGUGAAGACGGGUUGCUGGGCUGACACUGACGCUGAGGCGCGAAAGCCAGGGGAGCAAACGGGAUUAGAUACCCGAGUAGUCCCUGAGCGGGCUGGCAAGGCGCAU
rnacentral:rRNA from 1 species